rnacentral:rRNA from 1 species
AACGAACGUUGGCGGCGUGGAUCAGGCAUGCAAGUCGAACGAAUCCCGUGGGGGUAACUCCGCGGGGGAAGUGGCGAAAGGGGCAGUAAGGCAUGGGUGACCUGCCCCGGACUCCGGGAUAGCCCCUCUAACGAGGGGGUAAUACCGGACGACGUGGGCGACCACGAAAGCUGAGGCGGUCCGGGAGGGGCUCAUGUGGUAUUAUGCUAGAUGGUGGGGUAACGGCCCACCAUGGCCGAGAUGCCUAGCAGGUGUGAGAGCACGACCUGCGCCACUGGCACUGUGACACUGGCCAGACUCCUACGGGAGGCUGCAGUCGAGGAUCUUCGGCAAUGGGCGAAAGCCUGACCGAGCGACGCCGCGUGUGCGAUGAAGGCCUUCGGGUUGUAAAGCACUGUCGGGGGGGAGAAAAGGGCAACCCUGAUCGACCCCCGGAGGAAGCUCGGGCUAAGUUCGUGCCAGCCGCCGCCGUAAAAC